ensembl:lncRNA
CGUUUCUUUAGGAAGAUUAACAAUAAAAAUCAUGUUUAUUUCAAAAACAUUCAUUGAGUAUCACGUAUUGAGUGUUGAGUACUGGAUAAUGAUAAUGUUAUAAUAUGUAAAAAAUCCUGCUUUUGAAGUCUAACUUUGUAUACAAUUUAGUAUACCCAUGAAUAUGAUAUAAAGAUCCUGAUAAAUCAUCUCAAGAAAUUUGUAUUAAUGUAUUAUAUGCCUUAUGUGUUGGCUUAAGAUGAAAUUAAUCAGAGAUUUCCUGAAGGUGGAUUUUGAAAGACACAAGAAGCAGAAGAAAACCAGGUAGGCAAAGAAGACUCACCCACAUGUUUAUGACCAGAAGGAAAAAAGCAAAAAGGACAGGACGUGAAGUAUAUAAAGAACUCCUUGCUUCAGAAGAUUUGUUUUGAAAAUUUCAAGUUAAUUACUGUCUACCCUCCUAGCACAAAUCUUCACUUCUCAUUUUUUGUGAAUCCAAUUUAACAAGUCCUUUAUUUUUUUUUUUCCUAGCUCUCUCUUUUCUCCCCUGCUUUGAAAACAGCAGAUUAAAGGCUUUGAGGGUCUGAUCAUAAUGGUAAUAAACUUGUUUCACAGCUGGAGGCAACAUUCUCUAGAUAAGUGUAGUAAAAACACUUACUAUAAUUUCUUUUCCUUAUAUAGCAUUUGAUGCUUCUCUGGGGAGAACUUUGCAGAUAAAGUUAAAUACACUCUGUUCUCACCCAGGACUGUCAGAAUCCCACUCAAGCAGAACUAUAUGCCCAUCAGCUCUUUACCCUUGUUUGAGGGGAGGGAAGAAGAGUGAGUCAGCGUGGACAUCCCUCCCUUACCUUUCUGUCUUCCAUCUCUCAGACGGUGGGGCUGGCCGCAUCAGAAACACAGUGCACAAAAGGAGCAGUUAAAUGGCCUGUAAGGGUGAAACUGGCUGGAGGGAACUUCAGGAACCAUAGAGCUCUAUGUGCUGUGUGUGCUAAGUUGUUUUGGUCAUGUCUAACUCUUUACAACCCUAUGGAGUUGGACAUUCCUUAGUGACUAAAUAUAUUGUUUCGUCGCAAAGUCAUGUCCAACUCUUACAACCCCAUGGAGUGUAACCGCCAGGCUUCUCUGUGGGAUUUUCCAGGCAAUCAAAUUGGAGUGGAUUACCAUUUCCUUCUUCAAGAGAUCUUCCUGACCCAGGGAUCAAAUCUACACCUCUUCCAUUGGCAGGCAGAUUCUUUACUGAGCCACCUAAGCAUAGAUUACCCAGUGAAUGAACUGAUGUAUCCUAAAAAGCAUACAUACACAAUAUAAGUAAAUGAAUAGCAAGAAGAGAUAAGAAAGCCUUCUUCAGCGAUCAAUGCAAAGAGGAAAACAACAGAAUGGGAAAGACUAUAGAGAUCUCCUCAAGAAAAUUAGAG